AAAAAUCGCGCGAGAAAAUGAGAAGUUGACAGAAAAAGAUUUUUUUCAUUAUCGAAAGGGACAUGUACAACAUCCAUAAUGGUGUGUCUGAUGGAAUUUGUCAUUUCAUUAAUAAAUAAUGCUGAUAAAGAUGCAAACUUAGCAAUUGUGCCUAAAAAGUGACAGCUUUGACAAAGAAAUAUAUCCAUAUAUAACAGUUACUGGUACUGUAUGAAUGCAGUGAAAGGAUCCAGAUGAACAAAUGAAGAGAUUAAGUACAAUGUACAUCAAUUACUUGGAUGAAGAGAAUCUGCAACAUGGGGAAAUAAUGUUCCUAUAGAAAAGUCAAAGAAUGUAUACAUGUGAGAUUCUGAAGUAGCCGUACAUGAUGAGUAGGAAUUUGAAGUGAAUUAUGGGAAAAGUGAAAUGGUAAAAAAGAAACUGCUAGCGCUACUGUGCAGACUACCAUCAAUCAACAUGAUCAACAAAAUCAAGUAAUCCUUCUGAAGAUGGAGUAGUACACAAGCACAAUUUUUUAAAGAAAGAAAAGUCAAUGGAAUGAAGAAAAGGUGAAGUGAAUUGUCACUCAUUAUAUUUUAAAUUUAAUGUGGACAUGGUCAUUAUUUUAGUUAUGUCAUAACCUUCUUAUCAAUUUUAAGCAGUGCAGACAGAUGCAUUUCUUAUUGCUUUGAAUAGAAUAAAUUAUCAAAAAAGUUUGUAUAUGUUUUUUGAUGUAGAAUUUAUAUUAAAAAAAAAAUUAUCAAUUACUGCAGUUUUGAAUUUCAGUACACUAGAAAUUUUUCUGCCCUGUCAUGAAUAUGGCUGGGGCAUAUAGAGUUUGUUAUGUCCGUCUUCCGUCCUUUCAACCUUCUGUCUGUCCUUCCAUUCCGCUUUGCUUUUAGCUCAGUUCAAAACUAAGUUUCAAAGAAACUAUUCAAGAUAUUUUUAUCAAUCUUCAUAUGCUGAUACAUAUUGAUAAGAGGUAUUCAAUUUCAUCAACGUACCUUGACCUUUCCUUUAACUUUGACCUCACUUUUCUUAAAUUAGUGUUUAGCUCAGUUUUAAAGAAACAAUUCAAGAUAGUGUAAUCAAACUUCAUAUGCUGAUACAUACUGAAUCAACAUUUUUUUACCUUGACCUUUCCUUUGACCUUGACCGUACUUAUCUUAAAUAAGUGUUUAGCUCAGUUUUAAAGAAACCAUUCAGGAUAGCGUAAUCAAACUUCAUUUGCUGAUACAUACUGAUGAGAGCUAUUCAACUGCAUCAACAUUUUUUGAUCUUGAUUUUUCCUUUGACCUUCACCUCACUUUUUCUAAAUUAGUGUCAAACUUCAUAUUCUGAUACAGACUGAUGUAAGGUAUUUGACUGUAUCAACAUUUUUGACCUUGACAUUUCAUUUGACCUUGACUUCAUUUUUCUUGAAAUGGUGAUUAGCUCAGUGUUUAUUAAACGGUUUCCAUUCAAAAUAUUUUUAUCAAACUUAUUUUGCUUAUGCGUAUUAGUGAGAACUAUUCAACUGCAUCAAAAAUGUAUGACCUUGAACUUUCCUGUGACCUGGACCUCACUUUUCUUAAAUUUGCAUUUUGCUUAGUUUUAAAGAAACCAUUAAAUAUAAUUUUAUGUGAGCUUAUGCACUUAACAGAAUUUGGUGGGAAUUUAUCAUCUAUAUCCAACUUUUUCGAUUUCAAUGUUAAAGAAACUAUUUUAAGAUAUUCUCAUCAAAUUUCAUACACUAAAAAUAUUUUUAUGUUGCAUUACUAAUAUGCCCACAUGGUGCAGUGGUUAAAGCUCUAGAGUUGCGGAGUAAGGAGUUGAUCCUUAUGUCGCUGGUUCGAAUCCAACUGUGGGACGUGGAGACUGUAUAAACCGAGGUCACAUGU